UACAGAGGGUGCGAGCGUUAUUCGGAAUUACUGGGCGUAAAGCGCACGUAGUCGGCUUUGCAAGUCGGGUGUGAAAUCCCCGGGCUCAACCUGGGAACUGCAUCCGAGACUGCAUUGCUAGAGUAUGGGAGAGGGAAGCGAAAUUUCUGGUGUAGCAGUGAAAUGCGUAGAUAUCAGAAGGAACAUCAGUGGCGAAGGCGGCUUCCUGGACCAAUACUGACGAUCAGGUGCGAAAGCGUGGGGAGCAAACAGG
rnacentral:rRNA from 1 species